GAAAAAGAAAGGAUGAUCAAAGAAACCUUAUUGUAUUGUGGCAAUCAUAAAUACAAUAAUAACAUUCUGGCAAAAAUAAAAAUAUUUUGAAAGAUGAACUUUCUGAUCUUUGAAAAUAUAGUAAUGAAUGAUCAAUGAUGACUGAUGAGUCCUUUACAAGAAAAUACAAAAAUUUAGGUGGUUCACCAUAACCCUAUAUUAUGAAAUUUGAAAUGCUGCAGUGAUAAUAAAAUAGAGAAAAA
rnacentral:misc_RNA from 1 species